UUGCUCAGUAACACGUGGCCAAACUACCCUUCGGAACACAAUACCCUCGGGAAACUGAGGCUAAUAGUGUAUACCAUACCACCACUGGAAUGAGUGGUAUGCCAAACGCUCCGGCGCCGAAGGAUGUGGCUGCGGCCGAUUAGGUAGACGGUGGGGUAACGGCCCACCGUGCCAAUAAUCGGUACGGGUCAUGAGAGUGAGAACCCGGAGACGGAAUCUGAGACAAGAUUCCGGGCCCUACGGGGCGCAGCAGGCGCGAAACCUUUACACUGCACGACAGUGCGAUAGGGGGAUCCCAAGUGCACAGGCAUAGCGCCUGUGCUUUUCGGUACCGAAAGGUGGUACCAGAAUAAGGGCUGGGCAAGACCGGUGCCAGCCGCCGCGGUAAUACCGGGAGCCCAAGUGAUGGCCGAUCUUAUUGGGCCUAAAGCGUCCGUAGCUGGCCGCGCAAGUCCAUCGGGAAAUCCACCUGCUCAACAGGUGGGCGCCCGGUAGAAACUGCGUGGCUUGGGACCGGAAGGCGCGACGGGUACGUCCGGGGUAGGAGUGAAAUCCCGUAAUCCUGGACGGACCGCCGAUGGCGAAAGCACGUCGCGAGAACGGAUCCGACAGUGAGGGACGAAAGCCAGGGUCUCGAACCGGAAAAGAUACCCGGGUAGUCCUGGCCGUAAACAAUGCCUGCUAGGUGUGGCUCCCACUACGAGUGGGUGCUGUGCCGUAGGGAAGCCGCUAAGCAGGCCGCCUGGGAAGUACGUCCGCAAGGAUGAAACUUAAAGGAAUUGGCGGGGGAGCACUACAACCGGAGGAGCCUGCGGUUAAAUUGGACUCAACGC
rnacentral:rRNA from 1 species